rnacentral:pre_miRNA from 1 species
GCCGGAUUACCAGCUUGCCUGGGGAGGAGCACCGCGUGUUACAACUUCGUAGGGAGAAUGGCCGGAGAGUAUCACGUGACGCUCCUUCCUCGGCAAGUGGCAGCGUCGCC